GAGGCCUUAGCUUAAUUAAAGUAUUUGAGUUGCAUUCAUUUGAUGGGCGUUAGAGUUGUCCAGGUCUUC
rnacentral:tRNA from 1 species